AGAGAGAGAGAGAGAGAGAGAGAGAGUAAGGCUACUAUAUAUAUAGUUCUGGAAGCACAGAGCCUUCUGUGCUUUCAGGUCGUUUUUCAUGUUGCGACUUUCGAAUCGUCGAUCGGCUCCGUUAAAUUUGAUCUAGAGUAUUUGAAGUACCUAGAAAAUAAAUUUUAUGAUUUUCGAUAUCAUUAGCCUAGUGAUCGAAAGGGCUCAAAAUCAAUAAUCUUAAUGGCCAUAGUGACUUAGUGAGCCGUUGCAAGUUUAACGGUGUAGAAAUAUUCAAAUCACGUGAAAUUUUGGUAAAAAAUUCUUUAUACAUAAGAUCAAUAUUUUUGCUCUAAAAUUUUAAUGUCAUAUUCUUACGUUUUGUAAGAUUUAUUUUGAGCCAUUGAUUUUGAGCUCCUUUAUUCACUAGGUAAAUAAUAUCGAAAAAUCGCAUAAUUUAUUUUCUAGGUACUUCAAAUACUCUAGAUCAAAUUUAACGACGCCGAUCGACGAUUCGAAAGUCGCAAUAUGAAAAACGACCUGAAAGUACGGAAGGUUUCGUACUUCCAGAAGUAUAGCAGCCUCACUCUCUCUCUCUCUCUCUCUCUCUCUCUCUCUUCCCAAUAUCUUUUGGUGCAUGCAUUCAUGAUUUUUUUUCUCCUUCUUGGCCUGAACUUUGCAGCUCUAUACUCCUUUCACUUACUCGCAACAUACAUUAGAAGGGAUAAAGAAUCUGAAUUUUAAUACACUGAAAUUUAGUAAAAUUCAGUUNUAUAGCAGCCUCACUCUCUCUCUCUCUCUCUCUCUCUCUCUCUCUCUCUCUCUCUAUAUAUAUAUAUAUAUAUAUAUAUAU
rnacentral:lncRNA from 1 species